rnacentral:rRNA from 1 species
GACUCUCGGCAACGGAUAUCUCGGCUCUCGCAUCGAUGAAGAACGUAGCGAAAUGCGAUACUUGGUGUGAAUUGCAGAAUCCCGUGAACCAUCGAGUCUUUGAACGCAAGUUGCGCCCGAAGCCAUCAGGCCGAGGGCACGCCUGCCUGGGCGUCACGCA